UACGAAUCGUCCAAACGUUGUUCGGAUUUACUGGGUUUAAAGGGCGCGUAGGCGGUGCGCUAAGUCGGUGGUGAAAUACUUCGGCUCAACCGGAGAAUUGCCGCUGAAACUGGCGUGCUCGAGGGAGGUAGAGGUGCGUGGAACUUCCGGUGGAGCGGUGAAAUGCGUUGAUAUCGGAAGGAACACCUGUGGCGAAAGCGGCUUACUGGGUCUCUACUGACGCUGAGGCACGAAAGCUAGGGUAGCAAACGGG
rnacentral:rRNA from 1 species